AUUGAACGCUGGCGGCAUGCCUUACACAUGCAAGUCGAACGGUAACAGGUCUUCGGAUGCUGACGAGUGGCGAACGGGUGAGUAAUACAUCGGAACGUGCCUAGUAGUGGGGGAUAACUACUCGAAAGAGUGGCUAAUACCGCAUGAGAUCUACGGAUGCAAGCAGGGGAUCGCAAGACCUUGUGCUACUAGAGCGGCCGGUGGCAGAUUAGGUAGUUGGUGGGAUAAAAGCUUACCAAGCCGACGAUCUGUAGCUGGUCUGGGAGGACGAUCAGCCACACUGGGACUGAGACACGGCCCAGACUCCUAUGGGAGGCAGCCGUGGGGAAUUUUGGACAAUGGGCGCAAGCCUGAUCCAGCAAUGCCGCGUGCAGGAUGAAGGCCUUCAGGUUGUAAACUGCUUUUGUACGGAACGAAAAGCCCUGGGUUAAUACCCUGGGGUCAUGACGGUACCGUAAGAAUAAGCACCGGCUAACUACGUGCCAGCAGCCGCCGUAAAAC
rnacentral:rRNA from 1 species